rnacentral:rRNA from 1 species
AGCAGCCGCGGUAAUUCCAGCUCCAAUAGCGUAUAUUAAAGUUGUUGCAGUUAAAAAGCUCGUAGUUGAAUUUUAGGCCUGGCCGGGCGGUCCGUCUUUGGCGAGUACUGUCCUGUGUUGGGUCUUCCUUAUGGUGAACCAGUAUGUCUUUUAUUGGGUGUGCCGGGGAGCCAGGACCAUUACCUUGAAAAAAUUAGAGUGUUUAAAGCGGGCUAUUGCUUGAAUAGAUUAGCAUGGAAUAAUAGAAUAGGACGUUGUGGUUCUAUUUUGUUGGUUUCUAGGACCACCGUAAUGAUUAAUAGGGAUAGUUGGGGGCAUUAGUAUUCAAUUGUCAGAGGUGAAAUUCUUGGAUUUAUUGAAGACUAACUACUGCGAAAGCAUUUGCCAAGGAUGUUUUCAUUAAUCAAGAACGAAGUUAGGGGAUCGAAGACGAUCAGAUACCGUCGUAGUUUUAACCAUAAACUAUGCCGACUAGGAAUCGGGCGACGUUAUUUAAUGACUCGCUCGGCGCCUUAUGGGA